UGAGUAAGUCGGAAUACAAUAGAGCUUCUAACUCUAUUUAGAGAGGUUCGACUCCUUUCUUUCUCAA
rnacentral:tRNA from 1 species